rnacentral:siRNA from 1 species
AUCCCCUUAUUAUUAAAAGGGAAG